rnacentral:rRNA from 1 species
GAUGAACGCUGGCGGCGGGCCUAAUACAUGCAAGUCGAGCGGACAGACGGGGAGCUUGCUCCUCUGACGUUAGCGGCGGGGGGGUGAGUGACACGUGGGGGACGUAGCUAGAAGGCUGGGGUAAACUACGGGAACCGGUACUAAUAACGGCAAAUCUUUUCAACCGCAUGGUUCAGUACUUACAGACGUCUUUCCUUUCACUGAUACCAGGUGCCAGGCCGCAUUAGCUAGUUGGUCAGGUAACGGCUUACCAAGGCACCGAUGCGUCGCCGACCUGAGAGGGUGACCAGCCACACUGGAACUGAGACACGGUCCAGACUCCUACGGGAGGCAGCAGUAGGGAAUCUUCCGCAAUGGGCGAAAGCCUGAUGGAGCAACGCCGCGUGAAUGAUGAAGGUCUUCGGAUUGUAAAACUCUGUUAGUAGGGAGGAAGAAAGGUGUAUGUAUAUAUGCACGCAUUGACGUUACCCAAAGAGAAAGCCCCGGCUAACUACGUG